ACCUGGAUGGCUCAGUGGUUGAGCAUCUGCCUUUGGCUCAGGGCUUAAUCUCGGGGUCGUGGGAUCGCGUCCCGCAUCAGGUU
rnacentral:tRNA from 1 species